rnacentral:rRNA from 1 species
AACGCGUGAGAAUCUGGCUUCAGGUCUGGGACAACAGUUGGAAACGACUGCUAAUACCGGAUGUGCCGAGAGGUGAAAGGCUUGCUGCCUGAAGAUGAGCUUGCGUCUGAUUAGCUAGUUGGUGGGGUAAGAGCCUACCAAGGCGACGAUCAGUAGCUGGUCUGAGAGGAUGAUCAGCCACACUGGGACUGAGACACGGCCCAGACUCCUACGGGAGGCAGCAGUGGGGAAUUUUCCGCAAUGGGCGAAAGCCUGACGGAGCAAUACCGCGUGAGGGAGGAAGGCUCUUGGGUUGUAAACCUCUUUUCUCAGGGAAGAAAAAAAUGACGGUACCUGAGGAAUAAGCAUCGGCUAACUCCGUGCCAGCAGCCGCGGUAAUACGGAGGAUGCAAGCGUUAUCCGGAAUGAUUGGGCGUAAAGGGUCCGCAGGUGGCUGUGUAAGUCUGCUGUUAAAGAGUCAUGCUCAACAUGAUCAAGGCAGUGGAAACUACAAGGCUAGAGUGCGUUCGGGGCAGAGGGAAUUCCUGGUGUAGCGGUGAAAUGCGUAGAUAUCAGGAAGAACACCGGUGGCGAAAGCGCUCUGCUAGGCCGCAACUGACACUGAGGGACGAAAGCUAGGGGAGCGAAUGGGAUUA